CAGCUUCCUCUGUUGGGUGAAACUGUCCACCUGUCCUCUCCUUUCUCUUCCUGCUGGAAGAACUCCCAAGGCCCUGCCAUGGAGCUGCUCACCUUCCUCUUAGGACGACUGUGUUCUUCUGGACUGGGACUUCAGUCACUAGGACCUAACGUGGUGUCCAGCACAGUAAAUGGAUUUUGCCUGUACGUAAUAGUCAAGUUCUCUCGUGACUGCCAAAUGACUUGAUCAUGUCAGAACUGCUUUAGACUCUUGGACUCAGGUUUGGGUUUCUAUCUGGGAUCUGUUGGCUGGUAGAUAACUUUCUUCAUUUUUCUAAGCCUCGGCUUGCUCCCUUAAACAGUCCCUAAGGCUAUCAACUCCUUGGGAGGGAGAACUGUCUCAAGACCCACUUCAGCGGAAUCCUCACAGUCAGAUCGCGGCACCUGUGAUAUUACUCGUUGCUUUCCCUCUGAGUGGCCCAAUUUCUUGGGACUGUUUUAGAUAUGAAGCAGCAGCCAGAUCUCAUCUUCUGGCCUAACUCAUGCUGAAUGGUAUUUGGAGCCCAAGGUGACAAGGGGCUUUAAGUUAGAUGGGAAACUUCCUCUGGGCCCUGGAUAAAUAUUAUUCCUUCUGACAACCAGAACUUCUACACUUGUAGAGACAAGAUUAAUGAAGAGGAGAAGUUGGGUCAUGAGGACUGAUGAUCUUUGGAACUGUGCAUUCUACCAACUGGAGAACAAGACACCAUGUGCUGUUGA